rnacentral:misc_RNA from 1 species
AAGGCUUAGUUGAGUUGAGUAUUAGUCACAAGCUAUGUUAUUGGACUUGGUUCCCACUAUCCAAUUAAGGCACGUGUCAGUGUGUUGGACUCAACCUAUUUUAUUUCAUAAGAUUUCCCAUUAAUUUGAAGGUUCAAACUAUCAUACCCAUGCUCAAAUAUCCUUGUUUGGCAUUGGUGCUGUAAGUCCUGAAGUACUGGUUCAAAAGAGUUGAAGUAACUAUGAUCACCAUUAUUCUCUUUUUGUUGGAUUCAUUAUCUUGUUUUAAAAUUUUAAUUUGAUGAUGCAAGGAA